GCCCCCAUAGCUUAAUGGAUAAAGCACCUGCCUUCUAAGCAGAUGAUCCAGGUUCGAUUCCUGGUGGGGGCA
rnacentral:tRNA from 1 species